AUUGAACGCUGGCGGAAUGCUUUACACAUGCAAGUCGAGCGGCAGCGCGGCCUUCGGGCUGGCGGCGAGCGGCGAACGGGUGAGUAAUGCAUCGGAACAUGCCCAGUCGUGGGGGAUAACACUUCGAAAGAAGUGCUAAUACCGCAUGCGUCCUGAUGGUGAAAGCGGGGGAUCGCAAGACCUCGCGCGAUUGGAGUGGCCGAUGUCAGAUUAGCUAGUUGGUGGGGUAAAGGCCUACCAAGGCGACGAUCUGUAGCUGGUCUGAGAGGAUGAUCAGCCACACUGGGACUGAGACACGGCCCAGACUCCUACGGGAGGCAGCAGUGGGGAAUUUUGGACAAUGGGGGCAACCCUGAUCCAGCCAUGCCGCGUGAGUGAAGAAGGCCUUCGGGUUGUAAAGCUCUUUCGGCAGGAACGAAACGGUGGGCUCUAACAUAGUCCGCUAAUGACGGUACCUGAAGAAGAAGCACCGGCUAACCACGUG
rnacentral:rRNA from 1 species